rnacentral:rRNA from 1 species
UACGUAGGGGGCAAGCGUUGUCCGGAAUUAUUGGGCGUAAAGAGCUCGUAGGCGGUCUGUCGCGUCGGUCGUGAAAACUUGGGGCUUAACCCUGAGCUUGCGGUCGAUACGGGCAUGACUGGAGUUCGGUAGGGGAGACUGGAAUUCCUGGUGUAGCGGUGAAAUGCGCAGAUAUCAGGAGGAACACCGGUGGCGAAGGCGGGUCUCUGGGACGGUACUGACGCUGAGACGCGAAAGCGUGGGGAGCGAACAGG